rnacentral:rRNA from 1 species
UACGGGGGGGGUAAGCGUUGCUCGGAAUUACUGGGCGUAAAGCGCGUGUAGGCUGACCGGAAAGUCGGGCGUGAAAGCCCUGGGCUCAACCCAGGAACUGCACUCGAAACUCCCGGUCUAGAGUGGUGGAGAGGGAAGUGGAAUUCCUGGUGUAGAGGUGAAAUUCGUAGAUAUCAGGAGGAACACCAGUGGCGAAGGCGGCUUCCUGGACACCAACUGACGCUGAGACGCGAAAGCGUGGGGAGCAAACAGG